GACCUUGUGGCGCAAUGGUAGCGCAUCUGAUUCCAGCUCAGAGGGUUGCAUGUUCAACUCAUGUCGAGGUCA